CCAGACUCCUACGGGAGGCAGCAGUGAGGAAUAUUGGUCAAUGGGCGGGAGCCUGAACCAGCCAAGCCGCGUGAGGGAAGAAGGUACAGCGUAUCGUAAACCUCUUUUGUCGGAGAACAAAACCCGGGACGUGUCCCGGACUGCGUGUAUCCGAAGAAAAAGCAUCGGCUAACUCCGUGCCAGCAGCCGCGGUAAUACGGAGGAUGCGAGCGUUAUCCGGAUUUAUUGGGUUUAAAGGGUGCGCAGGCGGCACGGCAAGCCGGCGGUCAAAUCGCGGGGCUCAACCCCGCCCAGCCGUCGGAACUGCCGGGCUAGAGUGGGCGAGAAGUGCGCGGAAUGCGUGGUGUAGCGGUGAAAUGCAUAGAUAUCACGCAGAACUCCGAUUGCGAAGGCAGCGCACCGGCGCCCUACUGACGCUCAGGCACGAAAGCGUGGGUAUCGAACAGGAUUAGAUACCCCGGUAAG
rnacentral:rRNA from 1 species